rnacentral:lncRNA from 1 species
AAAGAACCUUUUGAAAUUUAGAAGUCUUUCUAAAGAAGGUGUUCUUAUGGUAAAAAAGAAAAAUGCUGUGAGACCUUAGGUAAGUAACUGUACUUCUCAGGAUUAACAGGGAUAAUAAAAAGGUGAUCUUUAGGACUGAAUGAGAAAGUAUAUGUAAAAAUGCCUAAGAUACCCAACACAGAGAAAGACUUAAUUAUUUUCUGUUAUUAUUUAUUAAAGUACAUUUUUGUAUACAAUUUUGUGUUUCUACAAUAUGAGUAUUUCACACCCAGAUUUAAGUAAAAUUUAGUAGGGUCCUUUUCUGUGCUAGGUGUUUUUUUUUUUUAUGUUGGCAUAUUUAAUUCCUAAAACAAUCUUACAAAGUUUGAAAAGUUGUUUCUUUUUAAAUAAUUAAGCCAUAUGAUUUCAGAAUGGCUAAGCAACUUGCCUAAUGUCACACAUUUGAUGUCUCCAGAUUCCAAGUUUCGUGUUCUUUCAUUUACAUUAAUAAAAAUUCUAAUAUCAGUACUUCAUAUGCACUGAAUUUGAAUAGAGCAUUAUACUCAGUUAAUCAUGUAUCACAUCAUUUUAUCACCAAAGUACACCUAUGAGGUUGCUGCCAGUGACUCCAUGGAGAUUAAAGAGUGUCAAGUCAUUGCCCCAGACCACACAGGUAGAAGUUGCAGAGCAAGGAUUUAAGGCCAAAUAGUUCUAAUUUUUCUGCCUGUGGUUGUCCUACUCCUUUACAACAUCCAUCAUUUCAGGGACUUAUUCUUACCAAAUAAGAGUCAAUGUGAGUAGGGGGAACAUACACAUUUUGUUUCAAUGUGACACUGUAGAUUGCUCCUAAAAUGUCACAGGCUGGGAACCACUAACCUAAGAUCUCCUUUUGAUUUUUAAUUGAGUCGCUCCUGAAAUGUCUUCAGUAUCUUUAACUCCAUGUUCUUUCCCUUCUUUGCUUCAGUAACUCCCAUGCAUUCUUCAAGCCUUAGAAUAACUGGAACCUCUUCUGAGAAGCUUUUCUUUCUACUUCCAGUCUCAAUGGGUGCUGAAUUUCAGUUCAUCACAGGUUUUGACAACAGGAGUGUGAGCAAUGACAAAAAGGCCUGGAGAUUAAAAAGAUGGCUCUGCUGCUCCACAACAUGUCUCAGAAUCUCCUUUCUUGAAAUCACAGACUUGAGCCUCUCCUGUGUAGAAAAUUAG